UACAGGAAGAACGCUACGAGGGUUUGACAUGUACGUGGUAGAGAAGCGACAGGGGAUAGACCUUUUGACGAGCGUACACUGGUGCUGCAUGGCAGUAGUCAGCUCGUGCCAUGAGGUGUCGGGUUAAGUCCCGUAACGAGCGCAACCCUUGCCCUUAGUUACAAGUGUCUAAGGGGACUGCCGGCGGUAAGCCGGAGGAAGGUGGGGAUGACGUCAAGUCAGCAUGUCCUUUAUAUCCAGGGCUACACACUCGCUACAAUGGUCCGUACAAAGGGCAGCGAAGCCGUGAGGUGAAGCGAAUUCCAACAAAGUUGAUGUAAGUUCGGAUUGCAGGUUGCAACUCGCCUGCAUGAAGCCGGAGUUGCUAGUAACCGCGCGUCAGUUAUAGUGCGGUGAAUACGUUCCCGGGGCUUGUACACACCGCCCGUCACGUCAUGGGAGUCGGUAACGCCUGAAGCUGGUAGUCCGGCCCGCAAGGGGGGACGCCAUCAAAGGCGGGCCGCGCAACUGGGAUGAAGUCCUAACA
rnacentral:rRNA from 1 species